rnacentral:rRNA from 1 species
GAACGAGACGGAUAUUAGCUUGCUAAUAUUGUCAGCUAAGUGGCGCACGGGUGAGUAAUAUAUAGUUAAUCUGCCUUGGAGAUGGGAAUAAUUGAUGGAAACGUCUUGUAAGACCCGAUAUGCCUUUAGUACAUAAGUACGCAAGGGAAACAUUUAUGGCUCCAAGAUGAGACUGUACAGUAUCAGUUAGUUGGUGAGGUAAUGGCUCACCAAGACUAUGRCGCUUAACUGGUUUGAGAGGAUGAUCAGUCACACUGGAACUGAGACACGGUCCAGACUCCUACGGGAGGCAGCAGUGGGGAAUAUUGCACAAUGGAGGAAACUCUGAUGCAGCAACGCCGCGUGGAGGAUGACACAUUUCGGUGCGUAAACUCCUUUUAUAUGUCAAGAUAAUGACGGUAGCAUAUGAAUAAGCACCGGCUAACUUCGUGCCAGCAGCCGCGGUAAUACGAGGGGUGCAAGCGUUACUCGGAAUCACUGGGCGUAAAGAGAAUGUAGGCGGG